AGAAUGAACGUUGGCGGCGUGGAUUAGGCAUGCAAGUCGUACGGGCCUUGCUUGCAAGGCCAGUGGCGCAAGGGUGAGUAAGGCGACGGUAACCAACCCCACGGGUGGGUAUAGCCGCGGGAAACCGCGGGUAAUCCCCAGCGACGUCCGGGAGGGGCAUCCCUCCUUGACCAAAGCUCAGGCGCCGUGGGACGGGCCGUCGUGGUAUUAGCUUGUUGGCGGGGUAACGGCCCACCAAGGCGGCGACGCGUAGCCGGACUGAGAGGUUGGCCGGCCACAUUGGGACUGAGACACUGCCCAGACUCCUACGGGGGGCUGCAGUAACGAAUCUUCCGCAAUGCACGCAAGUGUGACGGAGCGACGCCGCGUGUGGGACGAAGCCCUUCGGGGUGUAAACCACUGUCAGGGGAUAGAAAGUUCUGAUCAUCCCCAGAGGAAGGCACGGCUAACUCUGUGCCAGCAGCCGC
rnacentral:rRNA from 1 species